CCUACGGGAGGCAGCAGUGAGGAAUAUUGGUCAAUGGACGCAAGUCUGAACCAGCCAUGCCGCGUGCAGGAAGACGGCUCUAUGAGUUGUAAACUGCUUUUGUACGAGGGUAAACGCAGAUACGCGUAUCUGUCUGAAAGUAUCGUACGAAUAAGGAUCGGCUAACUCCGUGCCAGCAGCCGCGGUAAUACGGAGGAUUCAAGCGUUAUCCGGAUUUAUUGGGUUUAAAGGGUGCGUAGGCGGUCGGAUAAGUUAGAGGUGAAAUCCCGAGGCUCAACUUCGGCAUUGCCGUUGAUACUGUUCGGCUGGAGUGUAGGAGAGGUAGGCGGAAGGUGUGGUGUAGCGGUGAAAUGCUUAGAGAUCAUGCAGAACACCGAUUGCGAAGGCAGCUUACCGGGCUGCUUCUGACGUUGAGGCACGAAAGCGUGGGGAGCAAACAGGAUUAGAUACCCGUGUAGUC
rnacentral:rRNA from 1 species